UACAGAGGAGCCAAGCGUUGUCCGGAUUGACUGGGCGUAAAGCGCCCGCAGGCGGCUGCGCGCGUGGGGUGUGAAAUCUGGCCGCUUAACGGCCAGGCGCCAUCCCAUACGGCGCGUCUGGAGUGAUGCAGAGGUCGAUGGAAUUGCCGGUGUAGUGGUGAAAUGCGUAGAGAUCGGCAGGAACACCCAGGGGGAAACCAGUCGACUGGGCAUCUACUGACGCUGAGGUGCGAGAGCGUGGGGAGCGAACCGG
rnacentral:rRNA from 1 species